ACGCGCGCAUCCCGUGCUGCUUUUGCGCUGUUACGAACGUUACGGAGUAGGAACCCGCGAAAUCACGAUCCUCACUGCACUGUGCAACGUGCUAUCGUCAAGGUGUUUUCUCUAGAUAGACCCUAAUAUAUACACGACUUAUAUACGUGUCCGUUGUUUUAUCUUCAUUUAAUCGUUAACCUGGAUAUUUUUUAUUUUUGGACCCUUCAAAGAAGGAUGCCUUUCGUUUAAUCAUACUCCAAAGAUGAAAAAUUAUUAAAUUGUAUUGCCUAGUAUACGUAGAAAGGAAAUAUAAAUUUAUUAACAGCUAGAAGAUAGUGUAGGUAAAUUAUGUAUAAUAGGAGUGUCAAUGAUGGAAUUUCAAUAUCGGAGGAGAUUAAUUGAAAGGGUCGUUUUUUAUGCCGAAGAAGAUAAAUAAAAAAAGAAAAGAAAGAUGAAUUAUUGAAAAGGUUUUCUACGAGAUAACGUAAGGUAAAAGGAGAAAAUUGUUAGCGUCUAUCUGUAUUUUUCGCGGGCAUAUUCGCCACGUGGUGACGUACAUAUAUCAGGCACGUUGCACAGAGCGUCCGUAUAUUAUUUCGGUAUCGUUUAUGGGUAGAAUAUACCGUGCAGUGAGUUAAUAUACCAUAGUGUCGCGGCGUCUUGCGCGCGAAAGUUUCACACGUGCUGAUCUCGUGUUAUUCGUGUUGUUUGGUUAUUAGAGUGUUUAAUAUUAUUCCUAGACUUAUUUUAUUUGUUUCUCUUUCGUUUUCUUUUUUCUAUCUUUCCCUCUCUCUAUCUUUUUUUUUGUAUUUCCCAUCGUCUUUGUCUUUCGUUCUUAACCAACUUCUUCGGUCGGAAGCACCGACAGAAUUUCGUGGAAUUCACGAUCGCGAAUUCGAGAAUGCUCCGGCAAAACCGGUUAUCGUGAGACUCGCGAGAAAGAGGACCUCCAGCAAGGAGACUUCGGAGGUGUAGACCGAUUGCGAAGGGCAAGAUGUCGACAACGAGAUACGAUCGAUUGAUCGAUACUUGAUCAACCAUCGAUAGUGAACUUCCGGUUGCAAACUGUGUAUGCUUCUGCGAAGGGGGACGAUUAACUCACCUAGUUUUGGUUUCGUCUUGCUCGAUCUAGGAUAUAAUAAGGACAACGACAACGAUAACAUCGACGACGAUGAGCCUUCUUGGAGCUUAUUCAAAUUUUCCCUACGGUCUGUUCACGAUUCUCAAAUAUUGAGAAGAUAGAAGAAACAUGUCGGAAGUUAAGACGGAAAGGCCUCGGACUGCUGGUCGAAUAGCACCGACUGGUCGGGUCACUCCAAGCGUUCAUCAAUCGGCUGGUGGUGGAAGACGAAAGGCUAUACCUGUACCACCUCCUAGAGUUCCAACUCCUAUGCCUUCGGCCAAUAACAAUCAGCAAAGUUCUUGUUCGAAUAUCUUGGAGAGCCUCGAGGACACGUUCGUAGAUAAAGGGUUGGGGGGAAUGCGAGGACGAUCAUGCGACUCUCGAACCCGUACCUGACAAUUUAAUGAGCCGGAUUUCACGGGAUCGGCGUUGAAUGGAAAGGGGACUCGGCAAUGUUGUAUGAGAGUUCAGUGGCGUAUGAGCCAAUCGUCGAAGAACGAUGAGUACCGUGGAGAGAAUGGAACGGGGUGUGAAGGCAAAAGGGCGGAAGACAGAAAGAGUGAGAGAGUGAGGGAGUAAGAGGGAGCGAAUGAGAGAGAGAGAGAGAGAGAGAGAGAGAAAGCGAGAAUGCAUACAGGAAAAUCCAGGGGUCAAAAGCCCGCGGAAAUUUUCGACAAAAGCCGCAUGCAUUGUACUCGCCAACUGCGAAAAGCUCGUAACGAGGGUUCUACUAUUGCUCAUGUGUUGUGCUUACUACGAGCACCAGAGCAUUA